UACGAGGGGAGCAAGCGUUGUUCGGAUUUACUGGGCGUAAAGGGCGCGUAGGCGGCGUGACAAGUCACUUGUGAAAUCUCCGGGCUUAACUCGGAACGGUCAAGUGAAACUGUCGUGCUAGAGUACAGAAGGGGCAACUGGAAUUCUCGGUGUAGCGGUGAAAUGCGUAGAUAUCGAGAGGAACACCUGCGGCGAAGGCGGGUUGCUGGGCUGAUACUGACGCUGAGGCGCGAAAGCCAGGGGAGCGAACGGG
rnacentral:rRNA from 1 species